ensembl:lncRNA
CUCGCCAGAGUUCAGUGGAAGUUAGUUUUAAUACAUUGCAAGUCAAAUCAAAGUCGUAUUGUGUAGAAAUGUAAUUAUGAUAUCCUAUCUUGCUCCAUAUUUUUGCAGCUCUGUUUACAUCAGUGCAAUUUAAGCUCGAAUUUCUUUGUAUUGACCGUUCUGUGUUUCAAAGAUUUCGCUUGGCGGGGAACCCUUACAGCAGUAUUUUAUUCUGUAACAAGCUCAAAAACAGUGCAGGCCUUGUCCAAGUGAUGGUGUCUUUCUCAUGUCAAAGAUGUCAAAGGAGGAAUGACAGCUGUCACGUCUUAUUAAGCUACUGUGCUAGGCUAUGUGCCGGUUCUCUGGUCAAUAUAUAGAGCAGCAUACAUCCUCGGACAAAGUUGUUCGUACACAUAAAAAACCCAUGAAGAAUGUAUGGUUUGUAGAGAUUUAUUCAAAAGAAAAUAUCACAGUUGAAGAGAUUAUAUGUUUUAGUUACUUGUUAAUGACUGAUUAAUAGCAACUUAAUAAGGCUCCAGACAACUGAGCGCAGGGAUCAUUAAAGCAUUGAAGCGCAAAGUAUUCAUUUGUUGCAUUAGAAACAUUUCUCUCACUCACCGCACACUGAUGAAAUAGCAUGUAUUCUAAAGUAAUAAGAAGAAAUAAUAAGUCCACAUGGUCAGGUUGAUGUGAAAAAAACAAUUCGCUUUAUUGAAAAUGGUUCAUUGGUACAAAAACAACAGUGUGUGAGAUUUUAUUUUGCCAAAACACAUAAUAAAUGAGAUGAGUGGGCUAGUUCAUUUUUCAAGUCUCUAUCUUUUUUCCAAAGUAAAUGGAUAAUUGUUUACCGCUGAAUAAAUUGCUCUUUUUCCCCCUCAUUAACGUCAAACACAGGCAGCUUCCUACUAUUUUCCUAGAAGCAGUCCUCAAAUUACUCACAACCACUGUGAUGCACUUCCUCCCUCAUGACAUAUUUCCUGUCUGUGCUUAUAAUUAGAUGACGCCGAGCCACAGCCAUGAAAGCCAUGACAGUUACUUCCAGACUGAUCAGGAAGAGGUUAAGGAAGUGGUAGGAAGUAGCAAAGCAGGUCCGUGUGUUUGUCUAGCCUGCAGGAUGUGUUUUUCGGCCAAAAGCAAAAGCAGGGGUUUUUUUUUCUUUUUUUUCCACACACAGCGUUGGCAGGCUGUGAGUUCACCCAUCCCCCUCUACAGUUCCACAGCCUGGGUGUCUAGAGUUAUUGCAUUUCUCUGCCAGCACCCCACACUGACAAUCAGCAGCUACUGGGCUGUAUGAGGGGCGACUGGUCUAGCAUGGAACCAGGUAUGAUUCCCCCACUGACAGCCUGCAUCUUGUCUGCUGGGUGAAAAAUGAGGGUUCAUCCCAGCAAACAAAGCACAGGAAAAACCAUGCAGUACAUGCGUCAUGGCCAAAUUCAAGCAAACAAUAUAUAUAUAUAGUUUUUUUAUUUUAUAGAGGCAACUAAAUGCAGGGUUGAGCAGCCACAAAUCCAUACAUGAGGAAAUGUUUUGUAGUGUGACAAUAAAAGAAAUGUUGCAUAGAUCAUUGAUUUUACAAUCAUAUAAGUAACGACUUUAUAAAAAUAUUUACCACAAAAUCUAUCAAGCUCCAAUGUACAUGCUGUUCCGAUGGUGUGGAAAUAAUGUUGCGUUGCAGUCUGAGUGUCUGCCCGGCUCCCCUUUGGCUGCCCUACGUGCCCCGCUGUCUUAUUUCAGUGUACAAGAGACUCCCUCAUCUCCGUUUAUUAGCUGCUGACAGGCCUGGCCUAACACAUGCAGGAAUUUAAUUACACUCAUCUCAUCUCAGCAGUCUAGGGGGUUCCACACAUAAGGUGCGUGUGAGUGAGUGAGUGAGUGAGUGAGUGAGUGACGGGUAGGAAGGGAGACAGAGUGGGAGUUUCGCAGAACACCCCAGGAGCACAUUUUCACACUAAUCAACACGAUCCAGACUUCCUGGAGGUGAGACUACGAGAUGUAGGCGGACGGAUAUUUACAUGCAUGCACAAACUGGAGAACGGAAAAUAAUGGCGCGUACAGAGGUGUCGCCAACAUAGACGAUUUUCUUGGUUGAUACUGUAUAUACACCAAAAAAAAAAAAGAUUGAUGGUAGCCAGUGCUAUACAUGACAUCAUUACUAAUCAGCAUAUGAUCAAAAGUACAGGUUUAUUCAAAAGGCAAACUACACUGUAUCAAAGCUGUGUGGUCAAUGUAGCUAUGCCUCACUUCCACUUUCCCCAUGUAAGACCUUGUUCUUCUCCAGCAUUCCCUUCGAUGGCAAAUUCACAGACCUCCAAAGAAGCACAUUACCAUGUGAUUGCAGGUAUGAGUGCUGCUAGUAAAACCACAUGGCAUACAUUCUAGAAAGAGAAGUAGAAAAUGAACCCAAUACUUUGUCUGCACUUCCAGGCUUCUAUUCACCCCUGGCAAUUACCUGACCAAGCUACAAUAGGGUCCGACCCUGGUCUUUACAUCACUGUGCAUAGAAGAUAUGCGUCUACCUUUUUUUUGUCACGAAGCUCAGCAUGGAAAUGCUCUCAGUGCGUUCGUAGCUCUUUUGUUGGAUGCCUGCAUAUAUGCCAUCAAUUCAAUACAAGCUCUUGUGUGCAUGUGUGUGUGUGUGUGUGUGUGUGUGUGUGUAUGAGUUGGGUGUGGGCGCACGGAGCCAAGCAUUAGGACUCAUUUCCCGCACACUUGCCUCGACAGUGCCAUGAGGGCUUACAGAGAUGAAAGCGAAAUGCAAAUGGCGCUGCGGCGCUGCCCUGUUUUAAGCAGCCACCUUUGAAAUAAUUAAGACACUGGAGUGAAUUUGGCCUGCCAGAACAGCGAGCAGAAAUUUGGUGAGGAAGAACUGCGAUGACACUAUGACUCAAAUGUGGCUGAGAAACCUAGACCGUUAAGACAAUUUCAGCCUCGUCCAAUCAGUGUUAAAAUGAGCUGAGCGUUAUCUGACAGCAAUUGGCAUCUAUCCGAGAUAUUGGCAUCCCUUCAUUUUUAUCCAAAGUUAGAUUAGAGGGUGUGCGGAUUUAAAUAUCAGUAUAUUGGUUUACCAAGGUUUUCGCCACAGGCCACGUAGCAAAUAUAUAUUCAUUUGGAAUUUCAGGCGAUCAUGAGGUGCUCUAGAUGAAUACAGUCUGUGAUAACAUGCACUGGGUUCCACCCUGCAUUUGUGCAAAGGGCGCGUGUUGUGCAUGGAUAAGACGUGCCGCUGCUUGCCAUGAGCCAUUCGCAUAUAAAACUGAUAGUAACGGGGGAGGGUGAGUCGAUGCAUGUAAAUGAGUCGCUCAGCAUGCAUGGCUUCAGUGAUACUGGAUAAUUUCGUAAUUGAUGUGAGCACGUUAGCGAGGAGGAUGCGCGAGCCCUGUGCCAGCGGACAUUUUAGGUCCCUACCCUCUUCCGCGUGCUCGUCACUGCUAAGCCCUUUAAGAUGGUGGCACCUUGAAAGAAGGAAGCACUGUUGCACGGAAGCAGCUUCAGACCCUGCACUACUACUUUGUGGGCAGAUCGAAGGGUGUGAUCUGCCUACCCAACCUCUGCCAUCAAUUUUUAAUCCCCCCUCCUUCUAAUAAGGAUAUUAAGGCAGGCAGCUCCAGGGACCAGCGCAUAUAUGCAUGAGGUGGUGCUCAUCAAAUUUGCAUAAAGUCGAGAUUCUAAUGUAAGCGCGGUUCACCACAUGACGUAGCCAGCGCCUGUGACAGGUGCGGCAUUUCAAUUAUUUAAUUGGAGGGCGCGGACAUUUAGAAACAACAGCGACCACUUACAAACAGCAUAAAGCCAAUUUAUCGCACAUUUGAUGGCAGUCCCAGGGUUUAAAGAUCUUCUCUUGUUAAUUCUGUCGUAUCUAAAUUUAUCCCAGAUAAUUAGGGCUUCUGGGAACUGUGAAAUAGUAUUUGUGUCACCCACAUAAUUUACUUUCUACUAGAGGACAUUUCUAACAAAUUCUUCCCCAUUUAUAAGAAAAAUCAUUUUUAAUCAUUUGAACUCCUUGUAUUUUUUUUUUUUUAACAAAGAACUAGAUUAUAUUAUCUUCUAAGAACAACUCUAUAGUAUGUUGUCCUGGCGGUUAUUUGUAAUUAAUAUAAGUGAAUAAUUCACCAGCGUGAAAUGUAUUAUUUAGGCUUUGGCAUCUGACAGGAUCGAGGUGUUUUUCAGUGCAAUUAUAAGAAUUUGUUUAUAGCACGAGGGCCAUUUGCAUAAUCUAAAUUCAGCAGAGCAUUGCAGAAUUCAAAAGGACACGCAGACAGUCAGUUCCAGUUGAACACUAUAAAACCAUCACUAAUAGAUGCACGCAGCCUUGCUCCUGUACUGAGUCGGGUUUUUUGUAUUACAGAGGAAUUCUGAAUUGUUUAUGAUUAUACAGCAGAAAAAAAUAUAUUAAUAAUUAGCUCAGGGCAGCUUGGUUAGUGUAAGGCAUAACGGAUCUUUAGAACGGUACAGUGUAGCACUUAAAAUGAGCUAAAUCAUUCAUCGGGGCUUUUACAAGCUUUACUCACCUGCUCAGUGCUGUAGUUAGCUGAGUUAAACCUCUUACCAAAGAGUUGCCUUUAUCUCUCUCUCUCUCUCUUAUUUUUUUUUUUUUUAGAUCAUUUCCGUGGUACUUCCAAGGAAUGUAAUUAAUACGAACACUAAAAAGAACGCUGACAAAAGCUCAGCUACCAGAUAUCUGAGGAAGCAGAUUAGGUUAUUGCACAACUGGGCUGCACUGCCAAGACAUGGAUGUUAUUACUGCUUGUUCUUUAUACAAUAAAAAUGAAUAUAGGACUAAAAUCUCUGUUUUCAGCUCCUAUAUAGAAUCUCAGAAACCCAUAUACAUUUGGAUGAGACUAAUUUCGCAACAUGCUGGGAUGUGACAGGGCAGCACAUCAUAUUUGGAGCAUUAAAGUGUAAUGAAUAGAGAUUUGACCUCAGGGAAAUGGAGUAGCAGGGAGUUGAAAGGUCUUGUUAUAUGCAUAUGCACAAUAUACCUACAGCUUUAAUUUUGCACAUGCUCAUUUACAGCAAAUGCCUCAGAUACGUAUGCAAAUGCAUACACAUGUACAGGCAUACGCACACACUCACACUCUUUCGCAUGCACCCUUUGAGCUCACCUCCGGUUGCCAGAGCGACACCAACCAACGUGAAAAGCAAGGUACAUGUGACAAGGACCAGCGCAUAAAGGGGCGGAACUACGCACAGCUCCUGGCAGAAUUCUGCUCAUUUAAAUCCUCCACUUACAGCUAUAAACAAUCACCCAGUCAAUCUGUCUUCAGUCUCUACCUAUAUUGAGCUGCUAUAGACUAAUAAUAAAAAUGUAUUAAUGUAUGAGACCAUCGGCUAUAAUUACUAUAUUUGAUAAUAUGUAUGUGUGUUUGUGUGUGUGUAUAUAUAUAUAUAUAUAUAUAUAUAUAUAU